rnacentral:rRNA from 1 species
AUUGAACGCUGGCGGCAUGCCUUACACAUGCAAGUCGAACGGUAACAGGUCUUCGGAUGCUGACGAGUGGCGAACGGGUGAGUAAUACAGCGGAACGUGCCUAGUAGUGGGGGAUAACUACUCGAAAGAGUGGCUAAUACCGCAUGAGAUCUACGGAUGAAAGCAGGGGAUCGCAAGACCUUGUGCUACUAGAGCGGCCGAUGGAAGAUUAGGUAGGUGGUGGGAUAAAAGCUUACCAAGACGACGAUCUGUAGCUGGUCUGAGAGGACGAUCAGCCACACUGGGACUGAGACACGGCCCAGACUCCUACGGGAGGCAGCAGUGGGGAAUUUUGGACAAUGGGCGCAAGCCUGAUCCAGCAAUGCCGCGUGCAGGAUGAAGGCCUUCGGGUUGUAAACUGCUUUUGUACGGAACGAAAAGCCCUGGGUUAAUACCCUGGGGUCAUGACGGUACCGUAAGAAUAAGCACCGGCGAACUACGUGCCAGCAGCCGCCGUAAUAC